AACAAGGAUUCCCCUAGUAACUGCGAGUGAAGCGGGAUGAGCUCAAAUUUAAAAUCUGGCGGUCUCUGGCCGUCCGAGUUGUAUUCUGGAGAAGUGCUUUCNGCGCUGGACCGUGUAUAAGUCUCUUGGAACAGAGCGUCAUAGAGGGUGAGAAUCCCGUCUUUGACACGGACUACCAGUGCUUUGUGAUGCGCUCUCAAAGAGUCGAGUUGUUUGGGGAAUGCAGCUCAAAAUGGGUGGUAAAUUCCAUCUAAAGCUAAAUAUUGGCGAGAGACCGAUAGCGAACAAGUACCGUGAGGGAAAGAUGAAAAGCACUUUGGAAAGAGAGUUAAACAGUACGUGAAAUUGUUGAAAGGGAAACGCUUGAAGUCAGUCGCGUUGGCCGGGACUCAGCCUUGCCUUCCGCUUGGUGUAUUUUCCGGUCGACGGGCCAACAUCGAUUUUGACUGCUGGACAAGGGCUAGCGGAAUGUGGCACCUUCGGGUGUGUUAUAGCCGCUGGUCGUAUACAGUAGUUGGGAUCGAGGACCGCAACUUCGGCUUAAGAUGUUGGCAUAAUGGCUUUAAACGACCCGUCUUGAAACCCCGGACCAAGGAGUCUAACAUGCCUGCGAAGUGUUUGGGUGGAA
rnacentral:rRNA from 1 species